CCCUGAUGGAAUGUUUUGAAACGAGGAGGCCAGGUUGCUGAGCAACCUGGCCUCCUCGUUUCAAAACAUUCCAUCAGGG